AGGAAUUUUCGGCAAUGGAGGAAACUCUGACCGAGCAACGCCGCGUGAACGAUGAAGUAUUUAGGUACGUAAAGUUCUUUUAUUAAAGAAGAACAAAUGAUGGAAAAAUCAUUCUGACGGUAUUUGAUGAAUAAGCCCCGGCUAACUAUGUGCCAGCAGCUGCGGUAAUACAUGGGGGGCAAGCGUUAUCCGGAUUUAUUGGGCGUAAAGGGUGCGUAGGCGGUUAAAUAAGUCUAUGGUAUAAGUUCAACGCUUAACGUUGUGAUGCUAUAGAAACUGUUUGACUAGAGUUGGAUAGAGGCAAGUGGAAUUCCAUGUGUAGCGGUAAAAUGCGUAAAUAUAUGGAGGAACACCAGUAGCGAAGGCGGCUUGCUGGGUCUUAACUGACGCUGAGGCACGAAAGCGUGGGGAGCAAACAG
rnacentral:rRNA from 1 species